rfam:Clostridium sp. CAG:349 genomic scaffold, scf51
GAAAUCUUUAAUUAUGUCCAGAGAGGCAUACAAGGUUAUCAUACAAUAAACAGGUGUAUCAUAUCUUGCGUGUCUUGGCGCAAGAUUUUUUUUGA